AAUGAACGCUGGCGGCAUGCCUAACACAUGCAAGUCGAACGAAGGCUUCGGCCUUAGUGGCGCACGGGUGCGUAACGCGUGGGAAUCUGCCCUCAGGUUCGGAAUAACAGCGAGAAAUUGCUGCUAAUACCGGAUGAUAUCGCGAGAUCAAAGAUUGAGCGCCUGAGGAUGAGCCGGCGUAGGAUUAGCUAGUUGGUGUGGUAAAGGCGCACCAAGGCGACGAUCCUUAGCUGGCCUGAGAGGAUGAUCAGCCACACUGGUACUGAGACACGGCCCAGACUCCUACGGGAGGCAGCAGUGGGGAAUAUUGGACAAUGGGCGAAAGCCUGAUCCAGCAAUGCCGCGUGAGUGAUGAAGGCCUUAGGGUUGUAAAGCUCUUUUACCGUGGAUGAUAAUGACAGUACCGGGAGAAUAAGCUCCGGCUAACUCCGUGCCAGCAGCCGCCGUAA
rnacentral:rRNA from 1 species